rnacentral:lncRNA from 1 species
CUCCUGGCUCUUCACAUAGUUCCUUCCUGUUCUUCAUUCAAGUUAUAACUCAGAUGUUCCCUCCCAGAGAGGUCAUCUUUGACCACUCAGUAGGAACUAGCCCCUCCUAGUCAGCUCCUUUCCCAUGACCCCAUUUUGUGUCCACUGUCUGAGAUACUGAUUUGAUUUUUCUUUGUUUAGGUCUGUGCCUCUCUAUCGGAUGUCAUCUGAUGUGAGGAGGGGCCUUCUUGGUCUUGUUCAGUGUCUGGCAUAAAGCAGAAAACAGAGAAGCACAAACAAAAUAAAAACUGUGAAUAAGCACUGAAGACCUUUGCCUGCAUCAGCCAAAUAUCUGUGACUAGGAAAGCAGACAGAGUUACAUGGACAAGGGACACUAUUGGCAAGGAUAAUGGCAAUAGAAACCCUAAGGAAAUAAGAAGGAAAAACGUAAGUGACAAAAUAAGAAAACCUAACCUAGUAAAGCUAAUCAAAAACAAAUUCAAAUUAACACAGUUAAAAUCAGAAAGCUAAUAUAACCACUGAAUAAAAUAAAUUUAAAAAUUAUAGAAGCAUAUUAUCCUGAAAUGUCAGAUACUUUGAAACCUCAAUAAGGUAGAAAAAGAAAAUGUCCUUAAAAACAUGACAUUCUAAACCUGGUGUGAGAAAAAAAAUGAAAAAACAGUGUUGGACUUAACCUGAAGAUUAUUUACAAUGGCCAUAAAGAUGUGCUGCUAAUUAUUUCUCAUACAAAUGGUUAUUGUUUGAACAAAUUGUUCAAAAGCAAGAAAAACAUUUAGGGUGAACACAUUAGUCUAUGAGGUCAGUAUGAU